rnacentral:lncRNA from 1 species
CGAAGACAUCGUCUUCGCCAGCUAGAGUUUCUUGCGGUGAAAAAAAAAUUGCUUACUCGCCAUGAUAUUUGUCUGCACAUUGAUAACUUGUGAUUUCAUAUUUCACGACAGGGUGUGCGCCGAAGUACCGCCCUCUUUCCGAUCUACAAUAUUCCCGUGAGGAGUGAGUAUACAAGUUCACGAUGUUCCGCACCCUCGCUCCGACUGCUAUUGGACAUUGCACAAAAACGUGCAACUGACGCUUCUUAAGUAGAGAACACGCCCUUCCUGCUUUUUCAGCACAAUAUAACGUUGACGACGUAAGAAGCAUUUUGUUGUUUGUUGCUAAUAGCCAAAUUAUUUGAUAGUUUAAUUAUCAACUGCGAGAACGCUCGUAUAAUAACUUCCACUGUUAUUUUCUUUUGUUUCGCAUUGAUUUGUAUUGAAGGUCAACCGAAAGCUGCUUGACUACCUAAGCACACUCGCACAACUCAGGGCCCAGCGUGUUGCGCCGAGCGCCGUGGUGGACACAUUCGACAAAGUCUACGCCGAAGCUAUGGACAGCAUCAUGAGAAUCCUCGAUGACUAAUUGGCGGCAUGAAAGUUCAUGGAAGUCCAUCCUCCAAAUGAAGCCUAGCGCACCGCGGCGCAGGUCACAUGAGAGUUACACCUCUUCGUGGUUUAAUACACUGAGCUGGCAGCACAUAUCAUACUCC